rnacentral:ncRNA from 1 species
CAAGCCUGUACGGAAAGGCUUAGCCAGCCACCGGAAGCGAGCCUUGCGUAGUCAUUAGAGAUGAUGGCACGAAGUGUAGGCAGCGAUUGUCAAAGGUAUGCUAUGUAGCCUCGAAAGAAAGAUGAAUGCCGGGGUCUUAACUGUUCAUCUGGUUGGGACAACACGAAAAGCAGCGAUUUGGCGAGUUGUUGGAGCCUGGCCGGGGUCUGAGACCA